UACGUAGGGGGCUAGCGUUGUCCGGAAUCAUUGGGCGUAAAGAGCGUGUAGGCGGCCCGGUAAGUCCGCUGUAAAAGUCAAAGGCUCAACCUUUGAAUGUCAGUGGAUACUGCCGGGCUAGAGUCCGGAAGAGGCGAGUGGAACUCCUGGUGUAGCGGUGGAAUGCGCAGAUAUCAGGAGGAACACCGAUGGCGAAGGCAGGUCUCUGGGCCGAUACUGACGCUGAGGAGCGAAAGCGUGGGGAGCGAACAGG
rnacentral:rRNA from 1 species